AUUGAACGCUGGCGGCAGGCCUAACACAUGCAAGUCGCACGAGUGGCGGACGGGUGAGUAAUGUCUGGGACACUGCCCGAUGGCGGGGGAUAACUACUGGAAACGGUAGCUCAUACCGCAUACCAUCGGAUGUGCCCAGAUGGGAUUAGCUAGUAGGUGGGGUAACGGCUCACCUAGGCGACGAUCCCUAGCUGGUCUGAGAGGAUGCCCAGCCACACGGGAACUGAGACAAGGUCCAGACUCCGAGGGGAGGCAGCAGUGGGGAAUAGUGCACAAUGGGCGCAAGCCUGAUGCAGCCAUGCCGCGUGUAUGAAGAAGGGCUUCGGGUUGUAAAGUACUUUCAGCGAGGAGGCGUUACUCGCAGAAGAAGCACCGGCUAACUCCGUGCCAGCCGCCGCGGUAAUUC
rnacentral:rRNA from 1 species